rnacentral:SRP_RNA from 1 species
UCGUGCUAGACGGGGAGCUAGCGGUGCCCUGUAACCCGAAAUCCGCUUAUGCGGGGUUGAAAAUCCUCCCUGAGAAACAGCAAACAGGGGUCAAUUCUUCCGGUGAGAGAGGGGGUUGGAUCUCGUGUGACAGAGGAUUAUGAACCCCGUCAGGUCCGGGAGGAAGCAGCGGUAAAUAAUUCACUCUGCAUCACGAAUCAAUCUGGCCUAGCAACCUGUUCUUUCCGUGAGACCGCCUCUGUCGCUGUUCGAAGAAGGAUGCACGA